GUUUGGUGGAACUUUUAAUUGGGUUGAUUGGUUUUAAUUGCCUUUUGCAUCAUGCUAUAUGGAUGUGGUUAGUAUA
rnacentral:rRNA from 1 species